AUUGAACGCUGGCGGCAGGCCUAACACAUGCAAGUCGAGCGGAUGACGGGAGCUUGCUCCUUGAUUCAGCGGCGGACGGGUGAGUAAUGCCUAGGAAUCUGCCUGGUAGUGAGGGACAACGUUUCGAAAGGAGCGCUAAUACCGCAUACGUCCUACGGGAGAAAGCAGGGGACCUUCGGGCCUUGCGCUAUCAGAUGAGCCUAGGUCGGAUUAGCUAGUUGGUGGGGUAAUGGCUCACCAAGGCGACGAUCCGUAACUGGUCUGAGAGGAUGAUCAGUCACACUGGAACUGAGACACGGUCCAGACUCCUACGGGAGGCAGCAGUGGGGAAUAUUGGACAAUGGGCGAAAGCCUGAUCCAGCCAUGCCGCGUGUGUGUAGAAGGUCUUCGGAUUGUAAAGCACUUUAAGUUGGGAGGAAGGGCAGUAAGUUAAUACUUUGCUGUUUUGACGUUACCGACAGAAUAAGCACCGGCUAACUCUGUGCCAGCCGCCGCUGUAACAC
rnacentral:rRNA from 1 species